AGAGUUUGAUCAUGGCUCAGAUUGAACGCUGGCGGCAUGCCUUACACAUGCAAGUCGAGCGGCAGCGCGGGGGCAACCCUGGCGGCGAGCGGCGAACGGGUGAGUAAUACAUCGGAACGUGUCCUUUCGUGGGGGAUAACCAGUCGAAAGACUGGCUAAUACCGCAUGAGAUCGAAAGAUGAAAGCGAGGGACCGCAAGGCCUCGCGCGAUUGGAGCGGCCGAUGUCGGAUUAGCUAGUUGGCGGGGUAAAAGCCCACCAAGGCGACGAUCCGUAGCUGGUUUGAGAGAACGACCAGCCACACUGGGACUGAGACACGGCCCAGACUCCUACGGGAGGCAGCAGUGGGGAAUUUUGGACAAUGGGGGCAACCCUGAUCCAGCCAUGCCGCGUGUAUGAAGAAGGCCUUCGGGUUGUAAAGCACUUUCGGCCGGAACGAAAUCGCCUACGUUAAUAGCGGAGGUGGAUGACGGUACCGGAAGAAGAAGCACCGGCUAACUACGUGCCAGCAGCCGCGGUAAUACGUAGGGUGCGAGCGUUAAUCGGAAUUACUGGGCGUAAAGGGUGCGCAGGCGGUUCCGCAAGUCAGGCGUGAAAUCCCCGGGCUUAACCUGGGAAUGGCGCUUGAAACUACGGGACUCGAGUAUGGCAGAGGGAGGUGGAAUUCCACGUAGCGGUGAAAUGCGUAGAGAUGUGGAGGAACACCGAUGGCGAAGGCAGCCUCCUGGGCCAAUACUGACGCUCAUGCACGAAAGCGUGGGGAGCAAACAGGAUUAGAUACCCUAGUAGUCC
rnacentral:rRNA from 1 species